AGGUCGGAUGGCAUGGGUGGUCGGCCACUCAUACAUAUACUGGGUGCAUCGGAGAGCUGCAGUUCGACAUCGUGGUCUACAGCUGUGCUUUCCAAGUUCCGUGGUUCAGCUUCGGUGGUUUGGUUACCGGGGUUGGGGUUGGAAUGCAAUUUUUGUUGAAAUGUUUUGCAAAAUUCUUUUGGGACAGGUUCCGGACAUAGUGGUGCUUCACGCAGG